AUGGCAAAAUUCUUCUGGAGUAGCUCUUUGGACAAGAAAGCAAUGCAUUGGGUCGCUUGGGAUAAACUUGCGACGCCGAAGUGCAAAGGGGGCAUGGGAUAUCGAGACAUGCACCUGUUUAACUUGGCUCUGUUGGGGAAACACGGCUGGCGAUUUUUAACCACGCCGGACUCCUUAUGUGCUCAAGUUUUGAAGGGCCGUUACUUCCCGGAUGUGGACUUCAUGCAGGCAGUUGUCCCAAAAACUGCAUCAGCUACAUGGCGAGCGAUAAUUGCUGGAAGGGAAGCACUACGGGCUGGACUGAUCAAACGAGUGGGUGAUGGUUCAUCAAUUUCGGUUUGGAAUGACAUGUGGAUUCCU
rnacentral:rRNA from 1 species